UUAUUGCAUUAGGGGUGCCCAUAGUGCUGGGCUGAGAUGUGCAGAGACGCAUGGACUCUAGAACCUGUAAGUUAACGCUUGCGUAGGAAAAUGCACCGAACUUUAA
rfam:Lactobacillus reuteri DSM 20016, complete genome.